ACACUCCUUGGUGAGCCUACUCCCACUCCGCCUCCAUCACAUUCGGGAGAUCUGUGUCACACUGACAUUCUAGAAUCUACAUUCCCUUUGUAAGUUACGCCUGAGCUGUUGCUACAACAAGCCGACUGCCCCUUGUAUGUGUCCCACCAUACAUGAGUUGGGAUAUUAAAAUUUAUCUGUGUAUAUACUGCCCCAGCAGGUUGCUAUUCACAGGCUGGAAAGAAAUGCUCAGCAAAUCUAAGCACCAUGUUUCUGUCUCCCUCUCAUUCUCAGUCCUUCUGGAGGGUCAUGAAAUUCUUGCUCUGGGCUCAGACGGAGCAGGACUGGCCUCUAGACUCCUCCUCAGGCAAGCGAUGUGGCCCUGGGUGAGUGUGACACUUCUGCAAGCCUCAGUUGCUUCAUACAUAAAGUGGAGGAAUAUGAUCAACCCCAGGUGCAGUCUGAGGACCAAGGGGACGUGGGCGAGUGGGCAGCAGGGUGCGCCCCACCUCUAAGCGCGGCGAAGGUUAGCCAGUGGGAGUCGAAAGAACUCCCCUCGCUUUCAGCAGAUGGGAACAUUUCUGUGUUUCCUAAGUUGGUCUUGUCUGUAUUUCACAAUCCAGAUUCAGUCUAGUAAGUCUACUUUCUUAGGCUACUGGCCGAGUCAGGGCCGUAUUUAAAUAAUGAGCCUUGGGAACGGGAUACAUGGAUCUGCUCAUGGGCCCGCCUUCGGCGCAGCCUUCUCCCUCUGCUCCUCUUGGGUUCUCCCAGACCUAGCUCUGAACACACAAAGACGUCUGUGCACAUCUGGCCUUUCUUUCAGAGCAGUACUGCUGAGUAGAACGUUCUGCAAUAAUGAAAAUGUUCUAUCUGGAAUCUACGUCCUCAAAUCCUGCAGGUGCUCGCCAUUUGGAGCUCGCUGAGCACUGGAAUGUCAACAGUGCCAUGAAGAACCAAAGUGGAAUUUUCUUUUGUUGUAAUUCAGUGUAAACUGCCACAUGGGGCUGGUGGCUACCUUCUCGGUGCAGUGCCGGAGUAAAGAUUUUUCUUUUCCUUUUCAGCCGAAGAGUCUCCGCUGCCAUUCCUAAUGUAGGGUGCGUGCCUCUGCGACCAAGGGCCGGGAUGGGCGUAUUGAACUUACAUUUCAUGGUUUGGAUAAAGGCUCCUGCUGCUUGACUUUUAAAAAAGCAGCCUGUGUUUGCAUGUGUGUGUGGAAAGUUAGAGCAAGGCAGGAGGUAA